GAGGAGAAGGGUGGGGGUGGAACUCGCCUCAGCCCCGCGCCAACGGCCCCGGCUCCGCGGCGCGCGCAACCAGACCGCUUCGGCCGACCCGCAAUAAAGCGCGUCUGGAUUGGCCGGGGCAGGAACGAAGCCGCGCGGCGAUUGGCUGCAUGGCUGGGAAGGGAGCGGCACGCGGGUUCCACCAGCAGCAGUGCUUUGCGCGAGGCAGAGUCGCGCAGUUUAAAUUCGGCGCAGGCGGGAGCCGCCCUUCGCGCGCGGAGGAAGAGGGUCGGGGCGACCUGUUCCUGCCCCAACCGAAGCUGGGUGUCCCGCUCCGAGGCCCCACCCCAACUCCCCGCGCCCCAGUGUGCGGCCACAGGGACCCUGCUUGCACCGCACAGUACAGGGGCCGCGAGCCGGCGCUCUUGCUGGGGCAGCAACCCACAGGCUGGCCGCAAAGACCCGUUUCAAGCGAGUCCAACAGCAGUGAAAGCUGCCGGGCAGGCACCCCGCCUGCGGGGGUUGACAGCCGGACAUCCCUCUCCCACCCCUCACCCCCCUUUCUUCUGUGAUUCCCCUGACCCCAGCUCUCUGGUGGGGCAUUGUGGGACGGUCGGUGGAGUGGAAAAUGAAACUGCUGCAAGGUGAGCAGCAAGCAGAUCUGAGGGACACUGAUAGUGGCAGCAGAAGUGACAGUAACAGCAACACCACCAGGGGAUGAACAGAAUGUAAACCCCAACAUCAGGGCUAGGACUAAGACUGCGCUUGGGUUAGGGAAAGGACUGAAUAGGAGCAUAGGUCUGUGGGUGGCAUUUAUUGUAACUGCGCAGGCUUUCAAUGUGGCUUAAGGUGUGUGAAGAAAAGCUUUUGCUUGAUGAUUCUAAUAGUAUAA